rnacentral:rRNA from 1 species
GUCCUGACCAAAUCUCGUGCCAGCAGUCGCGGUUAAUCGAGGGGGGCAAGCGUUAAUCAUAAUAAUUAGGUCUAAAGGGUUCGUAGAUGGCUUUAUUAUAUAUUAAUAAAUAUAUAAAAGAUUAAAGCUAGAGUUUAGUAUGAGAAUAAAGUAUAUUUACUGAUGACGUGAAAAUCUCAUAGUAAGAAGACUGGAAGAGCGAAAGCAUUGUUCUAUAUUAAUACUGACAUUGAGGAACGAAAGCUAGGGUCGCAAAGCGGAUUCGAUACCCGUGUAGUCCUAGCCACAAACUAUGAGUGCUAAAUAUACAUAUAUUUAUUAUAUUCUUUUUAAAGAAUAGUAAAUAUUAAUAUUAAAGUGAAGACGUAAGCAUUCCACCUGGUGAGUAUAUUCGCAAGAACGAAAUCCAAGACAUUAGGCGGUUGUAGGCAACAGCAGUUAAGCAU